UGAAGCAGGCAACAGCUCAAAUUUGAAAUCUGGCUCUUUCAGAGUCCGAGUUGUAAUUUGCAGAGGGCGCUUUGGCUUUGGCAGCGGUCCAAGUUCCUUGGAACAGGACGUCACAGAGGGUGAGAAUCCCGUACGUGGUCGCUAGCUAUUGCCGUGUAAAGCCCCUUCGACGAGUCGAGUUGUUUGGGAAUGCAGCUCUAAAUGGGAGGUAAAUUUCUUCUAAAGCUAAAUAUUGGCCAGAGACCGAUAGCGCACAAGUAGAGUGAUCGAAAGAUGAAAAGCACUUUGGAAAGAGAGUCAAACAGCACGUGAAAUUGUUGAAAGGGAAGCGCUUGCAGCCAGACUUGCUUGCAGUUGCUCAUCCGGGCUUUUGCCCGGUGCACUCUUCUGUAGGCAGGCCAGCAUCAGUUUGGGCGGUGGGAUAAAGGUCUCUGACACGUUCCUUCCUUCGGGUUGGCCAUAUAGGGGAGACGACAUACCACCAGCCUGGACUGAGGUCCGCGCAUCUGCUAGGAUGCUGGCGUAAUGGCUGUAAGCGGCCCGUCUUGAAACACGGACCAAGGAGUCUAACAUCUAUGCGAGUGUUUGGGUGUCAAGCCCGAACGCGUAAUGAAAGUGAACGGAGGUGGGAACCCGCAAGGGUGCACCAUCGACCGAUCCUGAAGUUUACGGAAGGAUUUGAGUAAGAGCAUGGCUGUUGGGACCCGAAAGAUGGUGAACUAUGCUUGAAUAGGGUGAAGCCAGAGGAAACUCUGGUGGAGGCUCGCAGCGGUUCUGACGUGCAAAUCGAUCGU
rnacentral:rRNA from 1 species